rnacentral:rRNA from 1 species
CCCUUAGAUGUUCUGGGCCGCACGCGCGCUACACUGAACAGUUCAACAAGUCUUAACCUUGGCCGAUAGGUCUGGGUAAUCUUUGAACGCUGUUCGUGAUUGGGAUAGACCUUUGCAAUUAUGGGUCUUCAACGAGGAAUUCCUAGUAAACGCAAGUCAUCAGCUUGCAUUGAUUACGUCCCUGCCCUUUGUACACACCGCCCGUCGCACCGACCGAUUGAAUGGUCCGGUGAAAUCUCGGGACGGCGGCUUGGUCGCUUGCGUCCGACUGCUGAAACUUGAUUAAACCAUAUCAUUUAGAGGAAGGUGAAGUCGUAACA